rnacentral:tRNA from 1 species
GCGCCGGUAGUCUAGUCUGGUAGGACACCACCCUGCCACGGUGGCGACCCGGGUUCAAAUCCCGGCCGGCGCA